ACGUCAAAUCAUCAUGCCCCUUAUGUCCUGGGCUACACACGUGCUACAAUGGCGACUACAGAGGGAAGCAAAUCCGCGAGGAGGAGCAAAUCCCGAAAGGUCGUCCCAGUUCGGAUUGCAGGCUGCAACUCGCCUGCAUGAAGUCGGAAUUGCUAGUAAUGGCAGGUCAGCAUACUGCCGUGAAUACGUUCCCGGGCCUU
rnacentral:rRNA from 1 species